rnacentral:rRNA from 1 species
CCUACGGGAGGCAGCAGUGGGGAAUUUUGGACAAUGGGCGCAAGCCUGAUCCAGCCAUGCCGCGUGCGGGAAGAAGGCCUUCGGGUUGUAAACCGCUUUUGUCAGGGAAGAAAAGGUUCUGGCUAAUACCUGGGACUCAUGACGGUACCUGAAGAAUAAGCACCGGCUAACUACGUGCCAGCAGCCGCGGUAAUACGUAGGGUGCAAGCGUUAAUCGGAAUUACUGGGCGUAAAGCGUGCGCAGGCGGUUAUGCAAGACAGAGGUGAAAUCCCCGGGCUCAACCUGGGAACUGCCUUUGUGACUGCAUAGCUAGAGUACGGUAGAGGGGGAUGGAAUUCCGCGUGUAGCAGUGAAAUGCGUAGAUAUGCGGAGGAACACCGAUGGCGAAGGCAAUCCCCUGGACCUGUACUGACGCUCAUGCACGAAAGCGUGGGGAGCAAACAGGAUUAGAUACCCUGGUAGUCCACGCCCUAAACGAUGUCAACUGGUUGUUGGGAGGGUUUCUUCUCAGUAACGCAGCUAACGCGUGAAGUUGACCGCCUGGGGAGUACGGCCGCAGGUUGAACUCAAAGGAUUGACGG